rnacentral:rRNA from 1 species
UACGGAAGGCAGCAGUGGGGAAUAUUGCACAAUGGGCGAAAGCCUGAUGCAGCUAUGCCGCGUGUAUGAAGAAGGCCUUAGGGUUGUAAAGUACUUUCAUCGGGGAGGAAAAACAAAACUAAUAAUUUUAUUUCUUGACGUUACCCGAAAAAGAAGCACCGGCUAACUCCGUGCCAGCAGCCGCGGUAAUACGGAGGGUGCUAGCGUUAAUCAGAAUUACUGGGCGUAAAGAGCACGUAGGUGGUUUUUUUAAGUCAGAUGUGAAAUCCCCUGGGCUUAACCUAGGAACUGCAUUUUGAAACUGAAAUACUAGAGUAUCGUAGAGGGAGGUAGAAUUCUAGGUGUAGCGGUGAAAUGCGUAGAUAUCUGGAGGAAUACCUGUGGCGAAAGCGGCCUCCUAAACGAAUACUGACACUGAGGUGCGAAAGCGUGGGGAGCAAACAGGGAUUAGAUACC